GCUAUAUAGUUUAAAUAAAACAUUAAUCUUGUAAAUUAAAAUUAAAGAAAUUUUACAGCU
rnacentral:tRNA from 1 species